CUACGGGAGGCAGCAGUAGGGAAUAUUGCACAAUGGAGGAAACUCUGAUGCAGCGACGCCGCGUGAGUGACGAAGGCCUUCGGGUUGUAAAGCUCUGUUCUCUGGGAAAAAGAAAGUGAUUGUACCAGAGAAGAAAGGACCGGCUAACUUCGUGCCAGCAGCCGCGGUAAGACGAGGGGUCCAAGCGUUGUUCGGAAUUAUUGGGCGUAAAGCGGGUGUAGGUGGCUCUAUAAGUCAGGAGUGAAAUCCCCAAGCUUAACUUGGGAAGUGCUUUUGAUACUGCAGAGCUUGAAUGUGGGAGAGGAUAAUAGAAUUCCAGGUGUAGUGGUGAAAUACGUAGAUAUCUGGAGGAAUACCGGUGGCGAAGGCGGUUAUCUGGCCCAACAUUGACACUGAGACCCGAAAGCGUGGGGAUCAAACAGGAUUAGAAACCCGUGUAGUCC
rnacentral:rRNA from 1 species